AGCUUGCUACUUUGCUGACGACCGGUGGACGGGGGAGUAAUGCUUGGGAAUAUGCCUUAUGGUGGGGGACAACAGGUGGAAACGACUGCUAAUACCGCAUAACGUCUACGGACCAAAGGGGGGGAUCUUCGGACCUCUCGCCAUUUGAUUAGCCCAAGUGAGAUUAGCUAGUUGGUGAGGUAAAGGCUCACCAAGGCGACGAUCUCUAGCUGGUUUGAGAGGAUGAUCAGCCACACUGGGACUGAGACACGGCCCAGACUCCUACGGGAGGCAGCAGUGGGGAAUAUUGCACAAUGGGCGAAAGCCUGAUGCAGCCAUGCCGCGUGUGUGAAGAAGGCCUUCGGKUUGUAAAGCACUUUCAGUUGUGAGGAAAGGAGUGUAGUUAAUAGCUGCAUUUUGUGACGUUAACAACAGAAGAAGCACCGGCUAACUUCGUGCCAGCAGCCGCGGUAAUACGAGGGGUGCAAGCGUUAAUCGGAAUUACUGGGCGUAAAGCGUUCGUAGGCGGUCUAUUAAGCAAGAUGUGAAAGCCCAGGGCUCAACCUUGGAACUGCAUUUUGAACUGGUAGACUAGAGUACUGUAGAGGGUGGUGGAAUUUCCAGUGUAGCGGUGAAAUGCGUAGAGAUUGGAAGGAACAUCAGUGGCGAAGGCGGCCACCUGGACAGAUACUGACGCUGAGGAACGAAAGCGUGGGGAGCGAACAGGAUUAGAUACCCUGGUAGUCCACGCCGUAAACGAUGUCAACUAGCCGUUUGUGGACUUGAUCCGUGAGUGGCGCAGCUAACGCACUAAGUUGACCGCCUGGGGAGUACGGCCGCAAGGUUA
rnacentral:rRNA from 1 species